AAUAAGUACAGUUUUGCUUCAUGUUAAACUUUUGAAUUUAUUUUAUGAUUAGUAUCUUUACUGUUGUAGAUGAUAAAUUAUGAAUAAUAUUUUAUGUGUGACUAUUUUUUUAAAAAAAAUUUCAUAAAUUUUUUAAAUAAGACGAAUGGUCAAAUGUUGAACACAAAUCCCACAGCUACACUUAUU
rnacentral:pre_miRNA from 1 species